rnacentral:rRNA from 1 species
GGUUAAGCGACUAAGCGUACACGGUGGAUGCCCUGGCAGUCAGAGGCGAUGAAGGACGUGCUAAUCUGCGAUAAGCGUCGGUAAGGUGAUAUGAACCGUUAUAACCGGCGAUUUCCGAAUGGGGAAACCCAGUGUGAUUUGUCACACUAUCAUUAACUGAAUCCAUAGGUUAAUGAGGCGAACCGGGGGAACUGAAACAUCUAAGUACCCCGAGGAAAAGAAAUCAACCGAGAUUCCCCCAGUAGCGGCGAGCGAACGGGGAGGAGCCCAGAGCCUGAAUCAGUGUGUGUGUUAGUGGAAGCGUCUGGAAAGGCGCGCGAUACAGGGUGACAGCCCCGUACACAAAAAUGCACAUGCUGUGAGCUCGAUGAGUAGGGCGGGACACGUGGUAUCCUGUCUGAAUAUGGGGGGACCAUCCUCCAAGGCUAAAUACUCCUGACUGACCGAUAGUGAACCAGUACCGUGAGGGAAAGGCGAAAAGAACCCCGGCGAGGGGAGUGAAAAAGAACCUGAAACCGUGUACGUACAAGCAGUGGGAGCACGCUUCGGCGUGUGACUGCGUACCUUUUGUAUAAUGGGUCAGCGACUUAUAUUCUGUAGCAAGGUUAACCGAAUAGGGGAGCCGAAGGGAAACCGAGUCUUAACUGGGCGUUAAGUUGCAGGGUAUAGACCCGAAACCCGGUGAUCUAGCCAUGGGCAGGUUGAAGGUUGGGUAACACUAACUGGAGGACCGAACCGACUAAUGUUGAAAAAUUAGCGGAUGACUUGUGGCUGGGGGUGAAAGGCCAAUCAAACCGGGAGAUAGCUGGUUCUCCCCGAAAGCUAUUUAGGUAGCGCCUCGUGAAUUCAUCUCCGGGGGUAGAGCACUGUUUCGGCAAGGGGGUCAUCCCGACUUACCAACCCGAUGCAAACUGCGAAUACCGGAGAAUGUUAUCACGGGAGACACACGGCGGGUGCUAACGUCCGUCGUGAAGAGGGAAACAACCCAGACCGCCAGCUAAGGUCCCAAAGUCAUGGUUAAGUGGGAAACGAUGUGGGAAGGCCCAGACAGCCAGGAUGUUGGCUUAGAAGCAGCCAUCAUUUAAAGAAAGCGUAAUAGCUCACUGGUCGAGUCGGCCUGCGCGGAAGAUGUAACGGGGCUAAACCAUGCACCGAAGCUGCGGCAGCGACACUAUGUGUUGUUGGGUAGGGGAGCGUUCUGUAAGCCUGUGAAGGUGGCCUGUGAGGGUUGCUGGAGGUAUCAGAAGUGCGAAUGCUGACAUAAGUAACGAUAAAGCGGGUGAAAAGCCCGCUCGCCGGAAGACCAAGGGUUCCUGUCCAACGUUAAUCGGGGCAGGGUGAGUCGACCCCUAAGGCGAGGCCGAAAGGCGUAGUCGAUGGGAAACAGGUUAAUAUUCCUGUACUUGGUGUUACUGCGAAGGGGGGACGGAGAAGGCUAUGUUGGCCGGGCGACGGUUGUCCCGGUUUAAGCGUGUAGGCUGGUUUUCCAGGCAAAUCCGGAAAACUAAGGCUGAGGCGUGAUGACGAGGCACUACGGUGCUGAAGCAACAAAUGCCCUGCUUCCAGGAAAAGCCUCUAAGCAUCAGGUAACAUCAAAUCGUACCCCAAACCGACACAGGUGGUCAGGUAGAGAAUACCAAGGCGCUUGAGAGAACUCGGGUGAAGGAACUAGGCAAAAUGGUGCCGUAACUUCGGGAGAAGGCACGCUGAUAUGUAGGUGAAGCGACUUGCUCGUGGAGCUGAAAUCAGUCGAAGAUACCAGCUGGCUGCAACUGUUUAUUAAAAACACAGCACUGUGCAAACACGAAAGUGGACGUAUACGGUGUGACGCCUGCCCGGUGCCGGAAGGUUAAUUGAUGGGGUUAGCGGUAACGCGAAGCUCUUGAUCGAAGCCCCGGUAAACGGCGGCCGUAACUAUAACGGUCCUAAGGUAGCGAAAUUCCUUGUCGGGUAAGUUCCGACCUGCACGAAUGGCGUAAUGAUGGCCAGGCUGUCUCCACCCGAGACUCAGUGAAAUUGAACUCGCUGUGAAGAUGCAGUGUACCCGCGGCAAGACGGAAAGACCCCGUGAACCUUUACUAUAGCUUGACACUGAACAUUGAGCCUUGAUGUGUAGGAUAGGUGGGAGGCUUUGAAGUGUGGACGCCAGUCUGCAUGGAGCCGACCUUGAAAUACCACCCUUUAAUGUUUGAUGUUCUAACGUUGACCCGUGAUCCGGGUUGCGGACAGUGUCUGGUGGGUAGUUUGACUGGGGCGGUCUCCUCCUAAAGAGUAACGGAGGAGCACGAAGGUUGGCUAAUCCUGGUCGGACAUCAGGAGGUUAGUGCAAUGGCAUAAGCCAGCUUGACUGCGAGCGUGACGGCGCGAGCAGGUGCGAAAGCAGGUCAUAGUGAUCCGGUGGUUCUGAAUGGAAGGGCCAUCGCUCAACGGAUAAAAGGUACUCCGGGGAUAACAGGCUGAUACCGCCCAAGAGUUCAUAUCGACGGCGGUGUUUGGCACCUCGAUGUCGGCUCAUCACAUCCUGGGGCUGAAGUAGGUCCCAAGGGUAUGGCUGUUCGCCAUUUAAAGUGGUACGCGAGCUGGGUUUAGAACGUCGUGAGACAGUUCGGUCCCUAUCUGCCGUGGGCGCUGGAGAACUGAGGGGGGCUGCUCCUAGUACGAGAGGACCGGAGUGGACGCAUCACUGGUGUUCGGGUUGUCAUGCCAAUGGCACUGCCCGGUAGCUAAAUGCGGAAGAGAUAAGUGCUGAAAGCAUCUAAGCACGAAACUUGCCCCGAGAUGAGUUCUCCCUGACUCCCUGAGAGUCCUGAAGGAACGUUGAAGACGACGACGUUGAUAGGCCGGGUGUGUAAGCGCAGCGAUGCGUUGAGCUAACCGGUACUAAUGAACCGUGAGGCUUAACCUU